rnacentral:lncRNA from 1 species
AGGAUGAGGCAUGGCAACUAUUUGAAAUUUUAAGUGAAAAUUCAUUACAUCAUAUGUCUGCCUCUAUUAGAGAUAAACCCAUGUUAAACCCAAAGAGAGGUGGAAUAUAUGAAGUAGGAAAUGCCAUAGAUAUCCAUCAUAAGGUAGAUGAAUUGUCCCAAAAGUUAGAUCGAUUAUUAAGUAUGGGACAGUCACCUUCUCCAUCC